rnacentral:lncRNA from 1 species
GAGAAACAUGUUAUCCUAGAAUCCUAGGGAUGAACCUUUCUGUGACUGUUGAGAAGUUGCUGGUUCUUUCUUGCCAAGUCUGUGAUUUGGCAACCUUUUAACCCGUGGGGUUAGGGUCAUCAUGCCUUGCCAGGUAACAGACCUGAUUCUGGGCCUACGUCUUUACAAACUUGUACCAAAUGAGCAGCAGCUCGUACCUGCUAACUCACUGAAGGGUAAACAACGGAAAGAGAGAAAUCAGGUGAAAUGUCAGGGUCACUUGGAGAAGACAGGAAUGAAAGAUCAGAGGCAGCGCCCUGAAGGAGCUGUCCCUGAAGUUAGGCCACGAAAAACAAAAUGAAUCCUUGGAGAAAGGGUGAAAAGCUUUCUAAACGGACAAGAAUAAGCAGAGGGCAAAGACCCAGAGGAAAGAAAGUUCAGGCUGGGUUCCUCUGAAGAUUCAUCUGUUGGUGAUAACCAAAAUUCCUUUUAAUUUCUCAAAAACUAGGAUGACGAGCAGAUGCUAUGCAGUCAGGCACAGACAUGUGAUUUGAGUUACGGUAGUUAGUGUUUUCCAGUGGACAUACUCGGAUUUAUUUGGAAGAACAGAUAGGAGCCCUGAAGUAUAAGCGUCUGGGAGAGGGUUUCUGCCACCUGUAGCUUCGCCACUUCUGGACAAUCAGCCCAUUUUGGGGGUUCUUUGAUUCUUCACACAGAACCCCUCCUUCUUUCUGGUUUAUUGCAGUAGUCAAGCUAAGCAUCCACAAAUUCAGCUGUACAAAACCCACAGCUUAAAGCAUUCCACAAAGAGAGAAUGGUAUUAGGAAAAGAGAAUGGGCUGCGAUGUAAAUGAAGUGUGUUCGGAACUGACGCACACGCAUUACUUACUGUCUGCUGUCAGGGCAGUCCGCUACCCAGCGCUCAGUGCUCAGCGUCUUCCAGGAUCUGCUCUGACGUCCCGCCUACUCGUUCCGUGGAGAAAGUGCUCCCCGUGUGCACUGUUACAAGUUCAGCAGGAGUGGGCAGAUCGCCUGGCUAGGAGGAAACGCCUCACAAGGUACAACUUAGUACACCACACGUUGUGGGUGGUAGAGAAUUUUGUCAGAUCUCACUUAUUUAGAGACUAACAGCCUUGAUCUUUUG